AAAAUAAUAGGGAAUAGGAUCAUAAUGUGGUAAACCAGAGACCAGAGAAAAGGGAUUCCCUGUGAUUUUAUGGAUUUCUGGAUGUAAAGAGGGCGGAGUUUUCGGAUUCAUCCCGAAAGUUUUUCCAAAACGUGGUUAUCACUUGCUGGGCGGUGCCUUCCCGUGACGAGGAGAGA
ensembl:ncRNA F32A11.9 ncRNA